CUGGCUCAGGAUGAACGCUAGCGGCAGGCUUAACACAUGCAAGUCGAGGGGCAUCGGGAGUAGCAAUACUUGCCGGCGACCGGCGCAAGGGUGCGUAACGCGUGAGCAACAUGCCCGUAUCAGGGGGAUAAUCCAUGGAAACGUGGUCUAAUACCCCAUAGUAAUUAUGUAAGGCAUCUUAUAUAAUUUAAAGCUUUGGUGGAUACGGAUUGGCUCGCGUGACAUUAGCUAGAUGGUAAGGUAACGGCUUACCAUGGCUACGAUGUCUAGGGGUUCUGAGAGGAAGGUCCCCCACACUGGAACUGAGACACGGUCCAGACUCCUACGGGAGGCAGCAGUGAGGAAUAUUGGACAAUGGAUGGAAAUCUGAUCCAGCCAUGCCGCGUGCAGGAAGACGGCCCUAUGGGUUGUAAACUGCUUUUGUAUGGGAGCAAUAAGGGCUACGCGUAGUCCGAUGAGAGUACCAUACGAAUAAGCACCGGCUAACUCCGUGCCAGCCGCUGC
rnacentral:rRNA from 1 species